ensembl:lncRNA
CAGGAAGGGGAACAUCACACACCGGGGCCUAUCAUGGGGAGGGGGGAGGGGGGAGGGGGGAGGGAUUGCAUUGGGAGUUAUACCUGAUGUAAAUGACGAGUUGAUGGGUGCAGCACACCAACAUGGCACAAGUAUACAUAUGUAACAAACCUGCACGUUAUGCACAUGUACCCUACAACUUAAAGUAUAAUAAUAAUAAAUAAAUUUAUAAAAAAAAAAAAAAGAAAAUUCUGUUGUUGGUUAGUUUCUCAUAGUUGUCAAUAAGGCUAAAAUAGUUAACAACGCUGAAUUCUUGUAUUUCUGUGUCGUUCUGCAUCUUCUGAGAAUUGUUUGUGAAGAAAGAAUUAAUUGAAUAUUUAUUGGGGAAAGUACAUAUAAAAGAUAAAGUGGGAGGGGCAGGAGAAGAUGAGGAGAGCUUUCAGAGGACAAUACAGCUCUCAGAAUAAAGAGAGAAAAAAAAAAAUAAAGAAGGGAGAUUGGGUGGAGUGAGCCUCAGAUCACUGCACCGUUCUGAGAAAGCUUAGUCCAAGCUAAUGGAUAAUUAUUGAAAAGUGCUUGCCAAUUAGAGAAUUCCUCCGCUGGGCAAGAACAACCUACGCUGAUCAUGUGAGUCAUUUACUAUCGGCACGCUGGGAGAAGUGUGGCCAUGACGCUAAUCCAACAGUGGACCUGCAGGAGCAGCGGCUGUCGAGCAUCAGUCAAUGUUUUGCACACAGGUUCUCCUGAGUGGCACUCCGUCUCCACCAGGAUGCUGUUACUGCUCCUGUAUCACCAAAGCCGAUGCCCUAAAGAUCAGAGCUGCAGACACAAAGGAAGGCCAAUGCAUGAGAAGAAAUCAGUGGGAAAGGGAGUAAGAAUCGCAGUCCCACCUUGACGGCACUCUCAGGCAAGAGGCCGUCUCUUUCCGACGCUGUCAGGUAAGAAACACACAGAAAGGUUGAGAGACAAAGACCUCUCUGUUUACUGACAGGCUGUUUGAUAAGUUCAGGCUUUUAAAAAAAACGUGUUUUUGUUUGUGGUUUUAACCUACUUCCAUUCGAUGUUCUAGUAACACUGUGGCAAAGGAAGUGGUCCCCUAGCUCCUAUACCAUCCUGUAAUCACGGUUAUUUUGGAACCACAGGGGCAGAAAGGAGGUGAGCCCUUUCCUAGUCACCAUAAGAGUCACAGAUGAUACCCCUAUAACAGAAACAGGUUAACAAGAGAAAAGCAUAACAAAAGUAUUUGAUCAUAGUUUUAUGUGACAUGAGAGCCUUUGGAAUGAAGAGAACUAAAGAUAUAGACAAAACUGUCAAUUUGUAUGUUUGGGUUCAGUGAAGAAAGGACAUCCACAUCCACGUAGAAAUGUGAUUAGACUAAAGGGGUGUGGAUGAUCUAAUGCAGUAGAUGGACGGGAGUAGCCCAGCGGGGCCUGCUUGUCCAGAUUCUUCUCUGCCUCUCUGAGCAGCAUUCCUUCCUCCUGGGCAUGGGCCAAGACCCCUUUGGAAUGAGGGUCUCAUGACUUACUAUUAAAGUAAGUCAAAGAAUUUCUUUAUGGCCAGCUCUUAGGUAGAAACGCGGGGGAAGGUUCAAGUAAUACUUCUGGGUUUUGUGGCUGGCUUCGGGAAGGAGGAGUUCCAGUUACUACUACUACGAUCCACCUUGGGGAAGAUUCUAGUUUCUAGGGCAUUCAGGGACUGUUAAUAUGAUUUUCAGAACUUGGACACUUAGGAGAACAUUUAUACAAGCUUACUUGGUUUGAAUCUUGAAUCUGAAGUGGUGGAUUAAGAUACAGGAAGAUUGCAAGGUGCAGACAUCAGAGGCUGUUGCCUGGAGUCUAGAAGAAGACGGUGGAAUCCAGGAACGUUUCCUGUACGGGAGUCUGGAAAGGGUCCUCUAAUGCAGCCACCACUUGCAGGUGUGAAAGGCAGGCAGCUGAUUUGUAUCAGUCAACAAGCAGAGGUGCCAUAGCAUGAGUUUGGGUUUUACGGAUUUUUUAUACCUGUUCUCAGAGGCAAAACAGAGAAAGAACUGAGGACAAGUCUGAGUUAUUGGAAGACCAUUCCUAGCAGCAUUGGCAUGUUAAGCCACUUUCCGAGAUAGGAGCUCAGGCUUCAGAUAACAGAAUAGGAAUAUAGUUAAGUGGCUUGAGGUAAUGGGUGAGAAUUAAGGUUUUAUGAACAACAAUUAUGGUCUUAUGAAGAGGCCGGAUUCCAGGUGUGGAACGCUCUGUAUAAGCUGGCUCUAAGUCCAGUAAUGCCCGCUAACAGUAUAUGGUAGCAAUAUACUUCAGAAUAUCAUAUAUAUAUAUAUAUAUAUAUUUUUUUUUUAUGGCUACUGGGAGAACUGGCUUCCACCCAAGCCUCUUCAGUGGUAUGGACAGCAGCAAGCCAAGUGUUCUGAGGUUCCUUUUACUUGGUAGAUCCCUAACUCCGUGUAGAAUCAGUUGAUGACUGAAAUUCGAGACUGGCUGCGUAAAAGACUAAGAAAGCAGGGCCAGAUGCGGUGGCUCAUGCCUGUAAUCCCAGCACAUCGGGAGGCCAAGGCAGGUGGAUCACCUGAGGUCAGGAGUUCUAGAUCAGCCCAGCCAACCUGGUGAAACCCCGUCUCUACUAAAAAUACAAAAAUUAGCCAACAUGGUGGUGCGAGCCUGUAGUCCCAGCUACUCAGGAGGCUGAAGCAUGAGAAUCGCUUGAACCCAGGAGGAGGAGGUUGCAGUGAGAUGAGAUAGUGCCACUGUACUCCAGCCUGGGUGACAGAGCGAGACUCCAUCUCAAAAAAAAAGAAAAGAAGGCCGGGCGCGGUGGCGCAAGCCUGUAAUCCCAGCACUUUGGGAGGCCGAGACGGGCGGAUCACAAGGUCAGGAGAUCAAGACCAUCUUGGCUAACACGGUGAAACCCCGUCUCUACUAAAAAAUACAAAAAAAUUAGCCGGGGGUUGUGGCGGGCGCCUGUAGUCCCAGCUACUCGGGAGGCUGAGGCAGGAGAAUGGCGUGAACCUGGGAGGCGGAGCUUGCAGUGAGCUGAGAUCUGGCCACUGCACUCCAGCCCGGGCAAGAGAGCGAGACUCCGUCUCAAAAAAAAAAAAAAAAAGGAAAAAAAAGAACAAAACAAAAAAAGAAAACAGUGGUGUGGGGCAUGUCCACUGACUUGGAUCUUUCUUCUGAUUCAUAUUCUUGAAGCACUCAGUCACUGGGUUAAGGGUCCAUUAAGUGAGGCGCCUUCACCCUGCCUGCCACGUGAUUCUCACUGCUGCUUGAUCUUCACUGGGGUUUUGCAUUCUGCUCUACCUCACUGGUAUGAGGUCACUGGUAAGAAAACCAGUGCUACCUAUAUAUUUCUUGCCUCAAGGCAAAACUAGUCCUAGAUUCUGAAAAUCAGAAGCGCAGAUCCAGUAGGUCUAAUUUUCAAAGGUAAGAGGAAUGCAGCAGUAUGACACCAAACAGAUUACAACACCUUCAUCAGGGUGAAAUAAAUGCUUCUGACAUUUUUAUCGUGUUUUCUUCUCCAAGGUUAUGGCAUCCUAUGCUGUUGGGAUUUUUUUUUUUUUUUUUGUAUCUUCUGUUUUUCUUUUUAGUUUUCCCUUUGGUUUGAAUGUUCAUUGAAAAUAAAACUUUCAACAUUUUCAGCUCCACAAACCUUCCUUCUUA